rnacentral:rRNA from 1 species
AGCGAACGCUGGCGGCAGGCCUAACACAUGCAAGUCGAACGAACCUUUCGGGGUUAGUGGCGGACGGGUGAGUAACACGUUGGAACGUGCCUUUAGGUUCGGAAUAACUCAGGGAAACUUGUGCUAAUACCGAAUGUGCCCUUCGGGGGAAAGAUUAAUCGCCUUUAGAGCGGCCCGCGUCUGAUUAGCUAGUUGGUUGAGGUAAUGGCUCACCAAGGCGACGAUCAGUAGCUGGUCUGAGAGGAUGAUCAGCCACAUUGGGACUGAGACACGGCCCAAACUCCUACGGGAGGCAGCAGUGGGGAAUCUUGCGCAAUGGGCGAAAGCCUGACGCAGCCAUGCCGGGUGAAUGAUGAAGGUCUUAGGAUUGUAAAAUUCUUUAACCGGGGACGAUAAUGACGGUACCCGGAGAAGAAGCCCCGGCUAACUUCGUG